rnacentral:rRNA from 1 species
GACGAACGCUGGCGGCGUGCUUAACACAUGCAAGUCGAACGGAAAAGCCCUGCUUUUGUGGGGUGCUCGAGUGGCGAACGGGUGAGUAACACGUGAGUAACCUGCCCUUGACUUUGGGAUAACUUCAGGAAACUGGGGCUAAUACCGGAUAGGAGCUCCUGCUGCAUGGUGGGGGUUGGAAAGUUUCGGCGGUUGGGGAUGGACUCGCGGCUUAUCAGCUUGUUGGUGGGGUAGUGGCUUACCAAGGCUUUGACGGGUAGCCGGCCUGAGAGGGUGACCGGCCACAUUGGGACUGAGAUACGGCCCAGACUCCUACGGGAGGCAGCAGUGGGGAAUAUUGCACAAUGGGCGGAAGCCUGAUGCAGCAACGCCGCGUGCGGGAUGACGGCCUUCGGGUUGUAAACCGCUUUCGCCUGUGACGAAGCGUGAGUGACGGUAAUGGGUAAAGAAGCACCGGCUAAGUACGUG